rnacentral:tRNA from 1 species
GGUGGUACUUUUGGUAGAGUACAUGUCUCACAUGCACGAGGCCCUGGGUUCAAUCCCCAGCACCACCA